AACCAUUACUUAAAAAACCAUCUCUAGACUGUCAUGGUCCCCGUGCCACGCUGGCAACAGGUUUUGUUUUUGUUUUUUCUCUCUGGCUGUCCCUCGCUCCUCUCUGCCUGGGCGGAGCUCAUUACAGACUCUUGCUGUUGGCCCAUGCACCUGUAUGAUUGUCACCACCUGCUGCUGAUGUGGCUGAUUUCCCCAGCUGCUAUUUAAGGCAGUGGCACAGAGCAGUUUGCCGCUGGCAUGUUGAAUCUCCUGAAUAUUCCCCUCCUGGACCAGAUUAUGGACCCUUCCUUUGUAUGGUGGCGUAAGUGGAGUUUUGGAGCGAGUGCGGCUGAAGAGGUGUGACUGUGCUGAAGAGGAAGCAUAACUCCUUCUGUGCAUGAGAAGCCAGAAUAUGGACUCGUCAGACCAAGACCUAGACCCAAUCCAGCGAGCCCUCGCGGCACAGGAUGCGCUGCUGGUCCAUCACGAGGCAGUGUUCUCACACCUGCUGGGCGAGAUUGCUUCUCUAACCCAGGCAGUGGCUUGGCUUACACCGCUGGAGAGUGUGGCUGAUCCACCCCCGCAACCCCCCCUCGCUCCAGAACCAGGCACCCCAGGUCUUUGUCUACCUGCCCCUGAGCCAUAGGGGAGCUAACCAAGUGUGCAGGAUUUUUAAAGCAAUGCUCUCUGGUUUUUCAUCAACAGAAACAGUUGUUUGGAGAUGAUGGAGCAAAAAUUGCAUUUCUUUGUUCAGUUGUUACGUGACUGUGUGCUGCUGUGGGCUCAGGCGGUGCUUAAAGUCAAUCCAGAGAUAACCUAUGGUGUUUUUCUUUCAAAGUUCACAAGUGUUGUUGAGAAGGGAUCGGUGCUGAAGCAGCAGCUCAUCGGUUGCUGAACCUGGUGAGUGCUUGUUUUGUGGCAAGAAAGGCCAUUUUGUGGCAACCUGCCUGUCGCAAUCAAAAACGGCGCGUCCACCAGUAAAGUUAGGAAUACUAGUGGGCGAGCUCUCUCAAGAUUCUCCUCCAUGUCUUAUGCUGCCAGCCAAAAUAACAAAUCAAACCAUGGCUCAUACUCUUUCACCUUUAAUAGACUCCUUGGUCAAGAGCCAAGGUCGAAUCUCACCAAACGUUUAAACUUAAUCUCUGAAUUGUUGCCUCACCCUCUACAUGUUUCUGCUCUGUCGGGACAGCACCUACCAGACAUCAUUCACAUUAUGGAACCAGUUACCUUCACGUUAUCUUGAAAUCAUCCUAAAACAAUCAGCUUUUUAUGUUUCAGGCUCCACCACACACGCCAUUGGUUUUGGGUCACCCCUGGUUACAACAAUACAAUCUUCACAUCAACUGGAAGAGGGGGUGUGUGUCUGGGUGGAGGGAGGAGUGUCACAUGAACUGUCUUAGAUCAGCCACUCCCCUUACUUCCACUGUUAAACCACCCCCAGGCUCUGAACCACCAGAUCUCUCCUCAGUGCUGUAAGGUUAUCAUGACUUGACCCAGGUAUGACUUGCUUGAGAAGAAGGACAAGUCGCUCUGUCCUUGCAUUGACUUCCGGGGGCUAAUGAAAAUGACAU